AAGAGACCGGAACACAGGUGCUGCAUGGCUGUCGUCAGCUCGUGUCGUGAGAUGUUGGGUUAAGUCCCGCAACGAGCGCAACCCUUGUCAUUAGUUGCCAUCAUUUGGUUGGGCACUCUAAUGAGACUGCCGGUGACAAACCGGAGGAAGGUGGGGAUGACGUCAAGUCCUCAUGGCCCUUAUGGGUAGGGCUUCACACGUCAUACAAUGGUCGGUACAGAGGGUUGCCAACCCGCGAGGGGGAGCUAAUCCCACAAAGCCGAUCGUAGUCCGGAUCGCAGUCUGCAACUCGACUGCGUGAAGUCGGAAUCGCUAGUAAUCGUGGAUCAGCAUGUCACGGUGAAUACGUUCCCGGGUCUU
rnacentral:rRNA from 1 species